UUGGUUCUCCCGCAACGCUAACUUGUUAACUCGGUCAGGUCCGGAAGGAAGCAGCCAUGGCAGGUGUCGCGUGUGCCGGGAUGUCGCUG
rnacentral:SRP_RNA from 4 species